GGAAGUGUUUGUUGGUCUGGUGACCGCCCCAGUCUUCAAAACUGGUGAGGGGCUCUAACGAUUCCCUGGUGGGUUCGAUUCCCAUCCACUUCCGC
rnacentral:tRNA from 1 species